rnacentral:misc_RNA from 1 species
UGUGGAAACUUUACUCUGCUUCUGAAGGAUAAAGUUUCCACACAUACUUCAUAUCCAUAUCCAAUUACAUUUAUGCCUGCCUAUUUAAAUAAGACAGCAAUUGGGCUUCCAACACUAUAUCCAUCAGCCACCCAUUUCAGGUAUCCCUGAGCAAAAGAUCUUCUAGCAUUCCCACUUCUGGUAAAUGUUACAGAGUAUGUAGC